rnacentral:rRNA from 1 species
GACGAACGCUGGCGGCGUGCUUAACACAUGCAAGUCGAACGGAAAGGCCCUGCUUUUGUGGGGUGCUCGAGUGGCGAACGGGUGAGUAACACGUGAGUAACCUGCCCUUGACUUUGGGAUAACUUCAGGAAACUGGGGCUAAUACCGGAUAGGAGCUCCUGCUGCAUGGUGGGGGUUGGAAAGUUUCGGCGGUUGGGGAUGGACUCGCGGCUUAUCAGUUUGUUGGUGGGGUAGUGGCUUACCAAGGCUUUGACGGGUAGCCAGCCUGAGAGGGUGACCGGCCACAUUGGGACUGAGAUACGGCCCAGACUCCUACGGGAGGCAGCAGUGGGGAAUAUUGCACAAUGGGCGGAAGCCUGAUGCAGCAACGCCGCGUGCGGGAUGACGGCCUUCGGGUUGUAAACCGCUUUCGCCUGUGACGAAGCGUGAGUGACGGUAAUGGGUAAAGAAGCACCGGCUAACUACGUG